GGCGUUAAGUUGCAGGGUAUAGACCCGAAACCCGGUGAUCUAGCCAUGGGCAGGUUGAAGGUUGGGUAACACUAACUGGAGGACCGAACCGACUAAUGUUGAAAAAUUAGCGGAUGACCUGUGGCUGGGGGUGAAAGGCCAAUCAAACCGGGAGAUAGCUGGUUCUCCCCGAAAGCUAUUUAGGUAGCGCCUCGUGAAUUCAUCUCCGGGGGUAGAGCACUGUUUCGGCUAGGGGGCCAUCCCGGCUUACCAACCCGAUGCAAACUGCGAAUACCGGAGAAUGUUAUCACGGGAGACACACGGCGGGUGCUAACGUCCGUCGUGAAGAGGGAAACAACCCAGACCGCCAGCUAAGGUCCCAAAGUCAUGGUUAAGUGGGAAACGAUGUGGGAAGGCCCAGACAGCCAGGAUGUUGGCUUAGAAGCAGCCAUCAUUUAAAGAAAGCGUAAUAGCUCACUGGUCGAGUCGGCCUGCGCGGAAGAUGUAACGGGGCUAAACCAUGCACCGAAGCUGCGGCAGCGACACUAU
rnacentral:rRNA from 1 species